rnacentral:rRNA from 1 species
CAUGCAAGUCGAGCGGUAACAGAAAGUAGCUUGCUACUUUGCUGACGAGCGGCGGACGGGUGAGUAAUGCUUGGGAACAUGCCUUGAGGUGGGGGACAACAGUUGGAAACGACUGCUAAUACCGCAUAAUGUCUACGGACCAAAGGGGGCUUCGGCUCUCGCCUUUAGAUUGGCCCAAGUGGGAUUAGCUAGUUGGUGAGGUAAUGGCUCACCAAGGCGACGAUCCCUAGCUGGUUUGAGAGGAUGAUCAGCCACACUGGGACUGAGACACGGCCCAGACUCCUACGGGAGGCAGCAGUGGGGAAUAUUGCACAAUGGGCGCAAGCCUGAUGCAGCCAUGCCGCGUGUGUGAAGAAGGCCUUCGGGUUGUAAAGCACUUUCAGUCAGGAGGAAAGGUUAGUAGUUAAUACC